rnacentral:rRNA from 1 species
AGGACGAACGCUGGCGGCGUGCUUAACACAUGCAAGUCGAGCGGAAAGGCCCUUCGGGGUACUCGAGCGGCGAACGGGUGAGUAACACGUGAGCAACCUGCCCUUAGCUCCGGGAUAGCUCCGGGAAACCGGAAUUAAUACCGGAUAUGACCUAGGCCGACAUCGGCCGUGGUGGAAAGUUUUUCGGCUGGGGAUGGACUCGCGGCCUAUCAGCUUGUUGGUGGGGUAAUGGCCUACCAAGGCGACGACGGGUAGCCGGCCUGAGAGGGCGACCGGCCACACUGGGACUGAGACACGGCCCAGACUCCUACGGGAGGCAGCAGUGGGGAAUCUUGCGCAAUGGGCGAAAGCCUGACGCAGCGACGCCGCGUGGGGGAUGAAGGCCUUCGGGUUGUAAACCCCUUUCAGCAGGGACGAAGCGAAAGUGACGGUACCUGCAGAAGAGCGCCGGCUAACUACGCGCCAGCAGCCGC